AUUGAACGCUGGCGGCAGGCCUAACACAUGCAAGUCGAACGGGUGGCGUGCGGGUGGGUAAUGUAUGUGACACUGCCUGAGGGAGGGGGAUAGCUAAUGGGAACUGUAACUAAUAACGCCUUCAAUCGGAUGGGCCCAGAUGGGAUUAGCUAGUGGGUGGGGUAAAGGCUCACCUAGGCGAGGAUCCCUAGCUGGUCUGAGAGGAUGACCAGCCAAACUGGAACUGAGACACGGUCCAGACGCCUACGGGAGGCAGCAGUGGGGAAUAUUGGACAAUGGGCGAAAGCCUGAUGCAGCCAUGCCGCGUGUAUGAAGAAGGCCCUAGGGUUGUAAAGCACUUUAAGUUGGGAGGCGUUACCGACAGAAGAAGCACCGGCUAACUCCGUGCCAGCAGCCGCGGUAAUAC
rnacentral:rRNA from 1 species